GACGAACCGUGCGAACGUUGUUCGGAUUCACUGGGCUUAAAGGGCGCGUAGGCGGCUCGCCAAGUCGGGGGUGAAAUCUUUCGGCUCAACCGGAAAAUAGCUUCCGAUACUGGCGGGCUGGAGGGAGGUAGGGGCGACUGGAACUUCCGGUGGAGCGGUGAAAUGCGUAGAUAUCGGAAGGAACGCCGGUGGCGAAAGCGAGUCGCUGGACCUCUUCUGACGCUGAGGCGCGAAAGCCAGGGGAGCAAACGGGAUUAGAUACCCCGGUAGUCCUGGCCCUAAACGAUGAGGACUAGGUUGUGGACUUGACAUGGGUUCACAGCCGAAGCAAAAGUGAUAAGUCCUCCGCCUGGGGAGUAUGGUCGCAAGGCUGAA
rnacentral:rRNA from 1 species